AUGAAACUGCUGCCAGUUAAUCAGACUCAACCACUGUGGUGGACUUUCGGUGGCGGGACCAAACUGGAAAUCGGCAGUGACACAGUUCCCACCCUCACAGUCCUGCCCCCCUCCAGUGUGGAGCUGGAGCAGGGAAAGGCCACACUGGUGUGUCUGGCCAACAAGGGCUUCCCCUCAGACUGGACUCUGCGCUGGAAAGUGGACGACGCCAGCUGGAGCUCGGGCGUGGCCGGGAGUGUGGGGGUCUUGGGGAAUGACGGCCUGUACAGCUGGAGCAGCUCGCUGACUCUCAGUGCGGGAGACUGGAAGAAGGCGGCGUCACUGACCUGUGAGGCCACAAAGGGCUCCCAGUCUGCCCCCCCUCAGACACUGAGGAGAGCCCACUGUUCUUAGUAGGCCGGGUGGAGGCCCAGCUCACACACUCUGAUCACACUGUUUUUACCCUGUUCUGCCCUCAGCCUCUCUGCUCCUUACUGCUGUCACACUGAGCUGAGCCUGUGUGUGAAUCCUUCCUCCAGCCUGAGCUUCCAGUGCUAAUAUCUCUCAUGUGCUCUGCUUGUGUUCAUUAAAACAAAUAUGCACACGUGUGCUCUUAUUUGUGUUUGUGUGCUUUUGA